GGUUCUGGCUCCUUGGUAGAGCGCUCGCCUAGCACUUGUGAGGUCCUGGGUUCGAUCCUCAGCACCA
rnacentral:tRNA from 1 species